rnacentral:rRNA from 1 species
UACGUAGGGUGCGAGCGUUGUCCGGAAUUAUUGGGCGUAAAGAGCUCGUAGGCGGUGUGUCGCGUCGGCCGUGAAAACCUGCAGCUUAACUGUGGCUUGCGGUCGAUACGGGCAUCACUGGAGUUCGGCAGGGAGACUGGAAUUCCUGGUGUAGCGGUGAAAUGCGCAGAUAUCAGGAGGAACACCGGUGGCGAAGGCGGGUCUCUGGGCCGAUACUGACGCUGGAGGAGCGAAAGCCGUGGGAGCGAACAGG